GGCCAGCAUGGCAUAGUAGUUUGAGUGUUGGACUUUGACUCCAUAAAUCAGGGUUCAAAUCCCAGUUGGGCCA